rnacentral:rRNA from 1 species
UCGCACCUACCGAUUGAAUGGUCCGGUGAAAUCCUCGGACCGCUCCGGGCGCCCCUUCACUGGGGAGCUCGGGGCGGGAAGUUGAUUAAACCUUACCAUUUAGAGGAAGGUG